AUACUUACUUGGUAGGGGAGAUACCAAGAUCACAAAGUUGGUUUGCCAGGGCGAGGCUUAUUCAGUACACUCCAGGUGUGCUGACCCCUGCGAUUUCCCCAAAUGUGGGAAGCUCGACUGCAUACUUUGUGGUAGCGAGGAACUGUGUUCGUGCUCUCCCCUU
rfam:Pongo abelii chromosome 15.